UUUUUUUUUUUUUUUUAAUGUUUAGUCACUUAAAACUUGAGAUUCUCUUUAGAAGCCAGUUCACACAAAAGGCUGCUUAAAGUUGAACAUCAAAUUUGUAAUGAGGGUAUUUGAUCCUUGAUACUAAGAGUAAGAGGAACCACAGAAUUGCAUGCAUGAUACAGAAGAAAAAAAUUUACUAUACAGGGGAAGAGGGCAAAUGAGAGAGAGAAAUUUGAUUCAGAAAAAAAUAACUUCUGCUUGUGUAGUUAUACCAUUAGUUGCCCGUUUAAGUGUUUUACUUUUAUGGACAUGUCAAAAUAAUGCAGAUGCUAGUGUUGCCUUUCCUUAAUGCAGUCUCUCUCAUGUGUUAUUUACUUCAUUAAUAAUUUAUUUCUGGUAUUAUAAUAAUUUUAAUAUUUAGGCAAUAAUUUGCUGUGUGUGUAUAUAAUUGAUUUUGAUGAUUGGGAGGGGAAUUUGAACUUUUUUAGAUGCUCUGUAUAGUGAAAAUUUGGCCAUUCCUGACACAUUGCUUGAGGAUAACAUAUUAGAAGUUUUAUGAAUAGCCUUCAAAUAUUAAGUACUGAAGAUUUGACAGACAGCUAUGCGGUGGUUCAGAAGUCCACAAUCUCUGUCAUUGGGAACCACUAGUUGUUCUAAACCUAAAAUGGGUCCAGUUUUCCAAACUUCACACUAUAUUUAAAACCAAUCCUAGUUAGCAGGUCUUUCACUUCUAAAUAGAUUCUGUAUUGAAUUCUUUGACAAGUGAAUUUCAUGGUUUGGCAUACCAUAAGUUAAUAUAAAAAUUCAAUUAGAUUCUUUUUGUAACUUAUGUUUGGAAAAUAUCAUUCUUUCUGAAAAUGUACUUUGAGACAGAGACAGAGAGAGAAGGAGAAAAAAAGAG
rnacentral:misc_RNA from 1 species